UGGGUCAUGAGAUGGAUGACAACAAAGCAAAGAAGACUGAAGAGUGGUUAGGAAGAUGGAAGGAGAAUAAAGAUGAAGGAUUCAGAGAAAUUAAGGAGUAUAUUCAGGAGAUGGGAGUGAAAGACUGUCGACUAAGAGUUUACAGUCUGUGAUAAAUGUGAAUUACUGACAAAUUCCUGACAGAUUCACGUCAGAUUAAAUCCUCCCCCAAUGUUCUUAAAAGAAUACAUCCCAUAUCUAUGGUCAAAAGAGAAGACCAUCAAUGGGUCCUUCAAAUAUUUCUAUAUGGAAAGAAAGGGAGAAGUCAGUUUGACAAGAGACCACUUGGAAAAAUGCUAUGCUCUGACCAGUGCCAAUCUGCCUGAAGGCAUCAAAACAAUUAGGUAACUAAAGUGGGGAAAUGAGCACAAAGAGAAUAGGUUCUAUUUACUGAGAGUCAUGAGGAGAAAAAAUCAAGCAUAUCUGAGACUUCCAUCUAUGAGGAAUUCCAUUUGGCUGGUGAACUUAUGGAAGCUACUUUUCAUUUUAGUCCACAGUUUUAAGAUAAAGAAUGAAAGACUCUCACUGGCUAUCCCUCUUUAGUCUAAGACCCAGGAUAAUCAUUACUGUCUCUUGCCCAUUCCUUUCCACAGUCUGUGGGUGUGAAUGAUUUGGAAGUAUUUCUUAUUGGCAUCAAGGACUCAAGGAUCAGAGGAGAGAAAAAGGAAAGACAUAAUGAAGCAAACUCAUAUAUUUCCUUUGUAUUUGUUUCCAUAUUAUUAAAACUGAUGUGAUCACAA
rnacentral:lncRNA from 1 species